AUUGAACGCUGGCGGAAUGCUUUACACAUGCAAGUCGAACGGCAGCACGGGAGCUUGCUCCUGGUGGCGAGUGGCGAACGGGUGAGUAACAUAUCGGAACGUACCCAGUCGUGGGGGAUAACUAUCCGAAAGGAUAGCUAAUACCGCAUACGUCCUGAGGGAGAAAGCGGGGGAUCGCAAGACCUCGCGCGAUUGGAGCGGCCGAUAUCGGAUUAGCUAGUUGGUGGGGUAAAGGCUCACCAAGGCGACGAUCCGUAGCGGGUCUGAGAGGACGACCCGCCACACUGGAACUGAGACACGGUCCAGACUCCUACGGGAGGCAGCAGUGGGGGAAUUUUGGACAAUGGGGGCAACCCGUGAUCCAGCCAUUCCGCGUGAGUGAAGAAGGCC
rnacentral:rRNA from 1 species